AUUGACAGUGAAAAUAAAUAAACUAAUUUAUUUGAUGUAAUAUGAUCUUUUUGUAGUGUAUCAUACAUAUUUUUUGCAAAUGAAAAUUUAAAACACAUACUAUAAAAUCAUAUAACAAAUAAUAAUAUAGAUCCCGCCCGCAAAGCGGGCCGACCCUAGUAUAUCUAUCUAUUAUUAUAAAAGAGAGUUGGUUCUCUCCUUCUGACACGUCAGAUUCCACCUAGGAAAUUCGUUGAACGACAUGCCAACACGUGUCACAGUGAUACCGUUUCAUUUAUUCAGAAAGUCAUUGUUUAAUUUUUGUGGGCUUGCUAUUGUUUUGGGCCUAUUUGAACAAACCAGCUUCAUAAGUUAGGGUUCGUCAUUGUUCUUCGUUUCAUCGCGACCUCUGAACUUCGUCUUCACCACCGGAACGUUAUGGAAUCUUCGUGUUAAAUCUAUUAUUAAUUCAAUCAGUCAUGAUGUAGCCUUCAAUGUGGAUGAUUAAAUCUUCAGCGAGGCGUUGUACCUGCGAAUAUAAAAAGAUGUUCUUCCAUAGUUGAGGUCAGAUUGCAGCGAUUCUGGGAAGCGGCAGUGAUGAACUCAUGUUCGUUGAUAUGCUAUUACUUUGACUCAGAAGCGAAUUUUUAUUCCAGCCACCGUAAGUGCUAACCGGGUUCCAACCUUAUCUUCAAGCGCCGGCGAGAGACAAAUAUGGUCCUAGCCGGAAGAUCAUCAACCAAGGAGUUCCGAUAAGGUUUAACUGUCAAGGAGGAAGCGCUGGUUGGAGUGGGUCUCAACCGACGUGAGUUCAAAGAGAGCCAAGAAAAUCUAUAAACAAGGUUCAAAGUUCAAAACACUUUCUGGUGUAAUUGAUUACAUUGGGAAGAAUCCACUAGAAAUUCUCUUAGCAUUGAUGUUACCUUGAGACAGUUCAAGGAGAAUCUUCAGACUAUGAUGAAGAAAUAUACAAAUACAGCAAUGACAGGGUGAACAAGCUUCUGCUUCUGCGUCGAAUCCUCAUCAACAAAAGUGAUAUUAGUUGUCAAAGGCUAUUUGGGGAGCUGAAGGGAUAGCUUUUCAAUCUGUUAAUGAGAAAUCAAAGGAGAGUAAAAAGAGAGUGACAAAGAAGCGUGAGUUGGUGGUCUUCAUGUAAUGGUAAGAAUGCCUAACACGGUAGUAAAAGAUGAUAUAUGGAGAAUUCAAUGAAGGGCAUAAAUGAAAUUACCUCUUUAAUCAUGGCAGCAGCUUAGAUAUAUAAUUAUUGGGUUCUCUUUUUAUAUGCAAUUUCUAUGUGAUCGCAGCAUUUUCUUCUACAGUUGUUUUUGAACUUAAAUCUUAACUUUCUGGUGUCUUUUAUGUGCAUUUGAUUAGCUUAUGAAUGUAAAAUAAA